rnacentral:rRNA from 1 species
UGGGGAAUUUUGCGCAAUGGGGGGAACCCUGACGCAGCAACGCCGCGUGAGUGAUGAAGGCCUUCGGGUCGUAAAGCUCUGUCAGAGGGGAAGAAAUGCGGGGUGGCUAAUAUCCACCUUGCUUGACGGUACCCUCAAAGGAAGCACCGGCUAACUCCGUGCCAGCAGCCGCGGUAAUACGGAGGGUGCGAGCGUUGUUCGGAAUUAUUGGGCGUAAAGCGCGUGUAGGCGGUCUUUUAAGUCUGAUGUGAAAGCCCUGGGCUCAACCUGGGAAGUGCAUUGGGAACUGGAAGACUUGAAUACGGGAGAGGGUAGUGGAAUUCCUAGUGUAGGAGUGAAAUCCGUAGAUAUUAGGAGGAACACCGGUGGCGAAGGCGGCUACCUGGACCGAUAUUGACGCUGAGACGCGAAAGCGUGGGGAGCAAACAGGA